ensembl:lncRNA
AGAGUGCCGGUGCGACUUCCCUGGCCCCCCACACCUGAGGACCAGAGAACUUCGCCCGAGAGUGUGUGCAUAUUUGCAAUAAAAGACUGCCACUUUCUUAUGUACUUUGGCCUCAUGUUUAAUUAUUUAGCUCUCCUAAAUUAAAUUAAAUGAAACAAAACAAGCACCAUGAGAAUGCCAUUGUACCAACUUGUUUGUCUGUAAGACAACAGAACUUCAAAGCUAUGAGGUGCCUGCCUUUCUUCCAAUCAAGUAGACUCUACUAGUCAUCCGUAGAGAUGCAUGAGCUUGGAGCAUUUCCUUGUAUUUAAGCUGAGGAAAGGGAGAAUAUCCCCAGCCCCAUUUCAAGCUGUCAUCAUGAACAGUAGUGGAGGAGUGGAUUUGCCUAACAGCUGUCAGAGCUAACACCGGGCAGUGUCAGCAGCAGAGCUGGAGCUACCUUUGGUGGAGCGACUUUCCUCUUGCUCAACUCCUGGGUUCCCUCCUACUGGUCUGAACCAGUGACGCAGAUGGCAAGCGAAACAGGUCUGCUGGAGUUUGCUGGAGGUUCACUCCAGACCCUGUUUGCCUGGAUAUCACCAGCGGAGUCUGCAGAACAGCCAAGGUUGCUGCCUGUUCCUUCUUCUGGAAGCUUCAUCCCAAAGUGGCACCAGAUACCAGGCAGAGCUGUCCUGUAUGAGCCCAGAAUUCCACUGAGGAAGCUGUUGUGGCAGGGAGAUAGCCUGCAACUCAGGUGCCCAGGUACCACCCGAGCCCAAGGCACCAUCAUCCAUCUCUAGAUUCUGCACCCCAACUGGUCUUCCUGGUUCUACAUUCGCCCCUAUUCAUUUUCCCCACAGCAGCCAGGGUGAUCAUUUUGAGAAUGUAAAUGAGAACAUGUUACUUCCCUGCUUUAAACACCCCAUGACUCCUCCACCAAACCCAUCAUAAAUCCAUAUUUCUUCCUCUGACCACCUCUGUGUCCUGAUGUCCUAUCCUUCUCCUUGCAUUUCUCCCUAGUCACAGUGAGCAGGAACCAGAAUGUUGCUGAUGAAGAACAUUAGCCUCGCUGGCAAGGCUGAUGAGAACCUUAUAAGCCCAUUACAACACCUCAGCCAAGUCAUUUCUGACAACGCUCCUUAAACUGACAGACAUGCCUAUCCAGGCAGAGGCGCAGAUGGUGACCUUCAGGCCUUCCCAGUAGCAUGUUUUUUCCUGCAUUGCUAUCCUCUCUUAAAAAUGUUACCUUGGCCGGGCGAGGAGCUCACGCCUGUAAUCCCAGCACUUUGGGAGGCUGAGGUGGGCAGAUCACAAGGUCAGGAGAUCGAGACCAUCCUGGCUAACAUGGUGAAACCCCAUCUCUACUAAAAAUACAAAAAAAUUAGCCUGGUGUGGUGGCAGGCGCCUGUAGUCCCAGCUACUUGGGAGACUGAGGCAGGAGAAUGGCAUGAACCCGGGAGGCAGAGCUUGCAGUGAACCAAGAUUUCACCACUGCACCCCGAGCCUGGCCAACAGAGCGAAACUCCUCCUCAAAAAAAAAAAAAAAAAAAAAAAAGUUACCUUACACAUUAACAAAAAACAAUGUUCUCAUUGUUCUCUCUUGGCACCCAGUUCUGUUCUUCUUUACCGAACUUUCCAGAGUUUAUAAUUACGUAGUCAAUGCAUGUGUUUCUGUGUGCAUAUGUGCAUUGCCUGUCUUUUCCAUUAGUCUGUAAGCUCUAGGAGGAAAGGCUUCACGUUACUUUUGAAGGCCUCUGUAUAUGUAGUAUGUAGCACAGUACCUGAUAAAUAAAUAUUUGCUGAAUGAAUAAAUG